rnacentral:lncRNA from 1 species
AGUCCUUCGCCGUCCCUCGCCGUCCUUCGCCAUCGCACGCCACCGCACCCCAUCUCUCGAAAUCUGCAGACAUCUUGAUUUUUCCCACGCUGUCUGUCAGGUCUCCGCCGCCACUCGACGCCAGGGCGCCGGGCCUUGUGGGCUGUGCUGCACCUCGGACGGCUUCGCACCAGCCAGCGCCCUCUCUCUCCUGCAGCACUCUGAUCUGCACCCCCUGAGGGGCUUCCACUGUCCGCGGGGUGAGAAUGCCCCUGGGAGUGUCACAUGACUGCCGCCCCAUGUGUGUGAGAGGCGUCCUCUGGGAGAGCAUGGAUCCUGAGGUCCCAGGAUUGUCAGCUGACCUCUGUCCUGUGUGCCCAGUGGCCCCAGGUGACGUGUCUUCAAGAAGAGGCUGAGCUGCGGUGCUUGUAAGAUGGGUCUGCUGUGUGCAGAGGCUCCAUGGGAUGUGUUGUCUUCAUAGUAGCAGGGCGCUGGACCAUGGGUCCGCAAGGUCUCAGCCUUAGAUCCAAGGACAGUCCAAGGAAGUCCUAAGACCAUGGAGUUGGUGAUCUGGGAUCUGGGUUUGCUGAUAUUUCUCACCGUGAAUCUCUUGGUGGUGUUUGUGGGCACGAGAGGGGCAGAGAAUGGAGAGUGAGGCUACCACAUGAAGCGUCACCAGAGCUGCUCCCUGCUGCCUGCUCAGAGCACCCCGGAUCCACUGUUCAAUCUGCACAAGAUUCGGGGUCCAGACAUGGGAGACUUCAGCUGCCUCAGAGGACCGUGGACAGGGAAGGCCAGCCUCGCAUCCCUCUGUCCAUGCCUGGAAUGACUUUAAUAACCAAGAGUUUUAUUUUUGAAUUUGUAGCUGUCGUUCACUUUUUACCCACCCAUUCAAUAAACCUUACAGAAUUGCUCCA